CCUACGGGAGGCUGCAGUGGGGAAUAUUGCACAAUGGGGGAAACCCUGAUGCAGCGACGCCGCGUGAGUGAAGAAGUACUUCGGUAUGUAAAGCUCUAUCAGCAGGGAAGAAAAUGACGGUACCUGAUUAAGAAGCCCCGGCUAACUACGUGCCAGCAGCCGCGGUAAUACGAAGGGGGGAAGCGUUAUCUGGAUUUACUGGGGGGAAAGGGAGCGUAGACGGCAGCACAAGUCUGGAGUGAAAUGCCGGGGCUUAACCCCGGAACUGCGUUGGAAACUGUGCAGCUAGAGUGCGGGAGGGGUGAGUGAAAUUCCUGGUGUAGCGGUGAAAGGCGUAGAUAUUGGGAGGAACACCAGUGGCGAAGGCGGCUUACUGGACUGUAACUGACGUUGAGGCUCGAAAGCGUGGGGAGCAAACAGGAUUAGAUACCCUUGUAGUC
rnacentral:rRNA from 1 species